CUGUUCUCACAAUCUUGUGAAACGUCAUCAGUCGGGGCCCUAGUACUGUUCCAUUUCAAAGUUCACACAAAUCAAGAAUGCAUGGAAUACCCGGAUGAUAUUCUUGUCUGCUAGCUUAAACCCCGGAUGCACUGGUUAGUGACUCAUGUAGACUUGGCUGGCAAAUAUCCUGAGAUGCACUUCGUGCUACUCUCGAAUGCAACGGCAGCUUCUGUGAUAACUUAAUUCAGACAUGUUUUACUGAGUAGAUGACUGGUACUCAACCUUUG